CUCCCUCACCAGAGCUAAGAGAAUAGGAUUCUACACAAUUAGAGGUCUUUCUCUUGUCUAGAGCUUCCCUGGGUGCCUAUAGUAUUGCAUUGAAUCAGAUAUUGGAAGCACAAGCUCAACUCAACUUUGUUGGAAAGCACCACCCUAAGGCUUGAUGAAAUGUAUUGACGCUUCAAUUAAGCAAUCCAAAGGUACUACUAGUUUUGGUAUUGUAUCUUGGGAUUGGCAUGGUUAGAUUCUAAUAAGUCAAAAAUUAACUUUGUCAAAGCCAUUGAGUGUUGGGUUGAAUCAUACGUUUUGAUAUCUGAA